GUCCUGGGUUCUAUGACAAUGUGGCUGAGCAAGCCAUGGGAGAGAAGUCAGUAGGCAGCACCCUCCAUGGCCUCGGUCAGUGAUGAAGAGCAAAGCUGAAGUGUAAGCCCAGAUGCAAAAAGCGGAUGUCAGAAGAAGUGGAAGUUUUUAAUGUUCCAUCACAAAAGAGGCGGUCACAGCUCAGAACAAACUGGUAUGGAAGGUUCCAGACACAAAGUAAUGACAAGAAGAUGGAAAUUGAUCAGCACACUGCAGGCAUAUGUUAAAAUUAUCACACCUGAGUGUUGAUCAAUUCUAAUAUUUAAGGAGACUGAAUUGUUAACUGCCUGAUUUGACCAUUAUAUACUAUAUAUAUAUGUCUUAUGUGUACUAAGCAGCCUUUACCUAAUAAAUGUACCCAAUUAACAAAAUUCCUAAUAAAGAAAAGAUCUCUAUGCAGUA